ensembl:lncRNA
CAGAGAUAUUCAGCUGACAAAGGAGUCAUCACCUACAGCAGCUCAGGUGCUGGACCACUCAUACCUGGCUACAUUCAGGUGUGGCCCUAAGAAGAGGAUAAGUGACCCCUUCCAAGUUAUGCCAGAUUUCUAACUUCAUGCCUUCUCUGGAUUUGAAAAGAUGUCACACACCAAUACAGAAAAUGAGUGACACUGUCUCUGACUCAGUAGAUUUGUAUAACAUCAAAAACACAGCAGACCCAGAGUGAAUAAAACUAUUCCAUCAAGCAGGUAGAAACAGGAGAAUGGGACACCUGGGUACAAGUCUGAAGCCUGUAGAAGUCUGCAGCUUUCCCUUGGAUCAAUCACACUGAAGAGACUGAAGGAAAGUAUAUCUGCUGGCCUAUGGAAGACAGUGACUCUUGAAGUGAUAACAAAUAUUUUCUUCUAAGAAAGUAGUAACAGCUCUUUCAUACAUUAAACUGCCUGUUUCAAAAGCAAUUGCAAUAAAAUUCCUAAAAUAACAUAAAGCA